GAUGAACGCUGGCGGCGUGCCUAAUACAUGCAAGUCGAGCGAAUGGAUUAAGAGCUUGCUCUUAUGAAGUUAGCGGCGGACGGGUGAGUAACACGUGGGUAACCUGCCCAUAAGACUGGGAUAACUCCGGGAAACCGGGGCUAAUACCGGAUAACAUUUUGAACCGCGUGGUUCGAAAUUGAAAGGCGGCUUCGGCUGUCACUUAUGGAUGGACCCGCGUCGCAUUAGCUAGUUGGUGGGGUAACGGCUCACCAAGGCAACGAUGCGUAGCCGACCUGAGAGGGUGAGCGGCCACACUGGGACUUAAACACGGCCCAGACUCCUACGGGAGGCAGCAGUAGGGAAUCUUCCGCAAUGGACGAAAUGCUGACGGAGCAACGCCGCGUGAGUGAUGAAGGCUUUCGGGUCGUAAAACUCUGUUGUUAGGGAAGAACAAGUGCUAGUUGAAUAAGCUGACACCUUGACGGUACCUAACCAGAAAGCCACGGCUAACUACGUGCCAGCCGCCGCAGUAA
rnacentral:rRNA from 1 species